UACGGGGGGGGCAAGCGUUGUUCGGAAUUACUGGGCGUAAAGGGCUCGUAGGUGGCCAACUAAGUCAGACGUGAAAUCCCUCGGCUUAACCCGGGAACUGCGUUUGAUACUGUUUGGCUUGAGUACGGGAGAGGAUGGCGGAAUUCCCAGUGUAGAGGUGAAAUUCGUAGAUAUUGGGAAGAACACCAGUGGCGAAGGCGGCCAUCUGGCCCGGUACUGACGCUGAGGCGCGAAAGCGUGGGGAGCAAACAGG
rnacentral:rRNA from 1 species